UACUUCAGUGAGUGGGGGAGGC
rnacentral:misc_RNA from 1 species